GCCAAGUCGUGAGGCGGAGCUAAUCCCUUAAAGCCAUUCUCAGUUCGGAUUGUAGGCUGAAACUCGCCUACAUGAAGCUGGAGUUACUAGUAAUCGCAGAUCAGAAUGCUGCGGUGAAUGCGUUUCCGGGUCUUGUACACACCGCCCGUCACACCACGGAAGUUGGGGGCGCCCGAAGCCACUUAGCUAACCCUUUUGGGAAGCGAGUGUCGAAGGUGAAAUCAAUAACUGGGGUGAAGUCGUAACAAGGUAAC
rnacentral:rRNA from 1 species